CCUCUGCCGUAGUCAUGAGGUUCAAAUUCCCUCUCCUGGCCAUAGGCCUGGAAGUUGUUAUGAUUGUUUUAUUUGGAUUAUUUGUUGAAUAUGAGACACAGCAGAAUGCUCCCCAGCAGAAUGCUUCCCAGCAGGGUAACACCUCAAGUCCAUCAAAGGAGGACCAAUAUUUUCAGUUGUAUCCCUUAUUCCAAGAUGUGCAUGUCAUGAUAUUUGCUGGGUUUGGCUUCCUCAUGACCUUCCUGAAGAAAUAUGGUUUCAGUGGUGUGGGUUUUAACCUCUUUCUUGCUGCUCUGGGCCUCCAAUGGGGUACAAUUAUGCAGGGCCUUCUUCACAACCACGGACAGAAAUUUCACUUCGGGAUCAGAGAUAUGAUAAACGCAGACUUCAGUACAGCCACGGUUCUCAUUUCCUUUGGCGCUGUCCUGGGGAAAACUAGCCCCAUCCAAAUGUUGAUCAUGACGAUUCUGGAAAUUGCUGUGUUUGCUGGCAAUGAAUAUCUUGUUAUCCAAGAAUUUAUGGCCUCUGACACUGGAGCAUCAAUGACAAUCCAUGCCUUUGGAGCUUACUUUGGCUUAGCAGUAGCAGGAGUCUUAUAUCGGCCUGCCCUCAGAUAUGAACACCCAAAUGAAGAAUCUGUGUACCACUCUGACUUGUUUGCCAUGAUCGGAACGCUUUUCCUGUGGAUAUUUUGGCCCAGCUUUAAUUCAGCCAUUGCUGAUCAUGGAAAUAAUCAGUAUAGAGCCAUUGUCAACACAUACAUGUCCCUUGCUGCCUGUGUGAUCACAGCCUAUGCCUUGUCCAGUCUCGUUGAGCGCCGAGGCAGGCUGGAUAUGGUACACAUUCAGAAUGCUACUCUAGCAGGAGGUGUCGCUGUGGGCACAUGCGCAGACAUGGAAAUCCCGCUAUAUGCUGCUAUGACCAUUGGAAGCAUUGCAGGGAUCAUCUCUGUGCUUGGAUACAAGUUCCUUAGUCCACUGUUAGCUAAUAAGCUGAGGAUUCAUGAUACAUGUGGGGUCCAUAACUUGCACGGCUUACCUGGAGUGUUUGGAGGCCUUGCCAGCAUCGUGGCCAUAACCUGGGGGAAGUCUACAAAGUGAGUCUAUGGCUAUGCAGGCAGCAGCACUGGGAUCUUCUAUUGGCACAGCAAUUGUUGGAGGUUUGCUUACAGGUCUAAUUCUGAAGUUACCUGUCUGGAACGAGCCACCUGACGAAUACUGCUAUGAUGAUUCUGUUUCUUGGAAGGUUCCCAAAUUCAGAGAACUUGAUAAUCGCUUCUUUCAACAUGUGAAUCACAACCAUGUGGAACAUGAAGUCUAAAUAUCGCUCCUAAAUUCAGCAUCCUUGGAAUUACCAAGAAGAGUCGAGUUUAAAGAAACAAAAACUUAGUGUUCAGAGAAACAGGCAUGACAAUAGAUACAUUCCGGCCCCAAAUGGCCAGUGUAAAACUGCCUUUAGAUUUGGUAUUAUUCCUUGAUGUUCAAAUGAUUUCUCAGUUGACAAGAAAUUGCUCAGAAAGCAGUCUAUCCCAGACCCCAAGAGUGACUUUGCAAAUGGAUAGGUCAUAGCGAAUAUUUGAUUGUAUUUUUGAUGUCUUGCAAAAGAGGUGAAUUAUAGAAAUUAAUACUUCUUGAUCAUAUCAGACUUUAUCCACUUUUUAGGUCAGUUUAUAUUGUGGCAUCUUUGUGCCUGUGUGUCAUACCCCUACCCACUGUACAUUCCUACCCGCUGCAGUCCCUCAUCAUUCCUCACUCCCUCCAGCUGGAUCUCAUUCUUCCCCCAGUUAGGUAUUGCUUGUUUUAUUACAUGCAUUCUAUCCACAACACUUUAGCUUC